rnacentral:ncRNA from 1 species
UUCGAUAAAGGCAAACCCUGAGUGAUCAGGGGACGCAAAGUAGUGGAUCUUUAAACCUACACGGAAGUGGUUUAAAAAACCCAAAUGUGCAGGAAUGAAAGACAGCCUUACUGCCGAAG